CCACCUCCAGCCACGCCCCACGUCCCAGGCGCCCGCCAACGGCCCCUCCCCGCCGCCCCUCCCCUCGGGGUUUCCCCAAAGGAUCCUGCAGCUGUUGGCCCGGCUCAGUACCUGAGUGCCCUCUGUGCUAGCCACUGGGGAACAGAGAUGAAAUACUAUGACCCUGCCUUUGUGGAUAGAUCACACACAGGCUUAUGAAGGAAGACAGUGAAUUAAAUUAUAACUAUGUAAAGUGCUCUGUGAAGGGGGAUCAGGGUUGGUUGGGUCCUAAUGGCUGCCAGGAAGUUUGAGAACUCAGCAGGCCAUGGAAAAGUCUGCAAGGGGAAACAAGCGCAAAGGCACACAGGCUUUAACAGGAGGAAGAUUAACCAGAGUAUGUGAAGAGGGCAGCAGAACAGAACAGAGGCGGGUGAUUAUCAGUCAAGAGAAACUAAAAGCCACUAUUCCAGUUGUGGUACUGUGAACUGAGCUGUGGACAACACAGAGUCCUCAGGAGGUCCAGGAGGCUGCUACUAAGGAUAUCCAAGAACCACGUCACAUCUCUGAUCAAGGGCCUGAGAAGUCCAUAUGACCUCCUGAAAGAGUUUGUCUCUGACUUCCCAGAGAAUGUUGAAGCCUCCUCCAUCCAGCCUUGUAAAAGGGAUGAUAGAUAGUCCAAGCUCCUUCUGUAGGGUUGAACAUCUGUGAGGGGAACAGCAGCUGACCUAGAUGAAGAGGGGUGAGGCCAAAGACUAGAUUCUUUCUGCAAAGUGGAGGACAACCAGAAGGCAGGAGCCUUAGGUAAGGAGGACUGCUUCUAGACUGGUUUCUACAAUUUUUGGCUUUUUUCAGAGCCUACCCAAGAAGAAAACACAACCCUCUCUCCUGGAUCCUUCAAUUAGCCCUCAGUUCCAGGAUGUGUAAACAAGUCCACCUGAAUAGAGACUUCUCCCACAGGAUCAUCCACACCAGAUCCUGAAGGACAGAUGAACAGUUUUUCCUAUACUGGAGAACUCUAAAACUUCAGGCCUAUUAUCCCAGCUCACAUUUCCUUUCUCCUGGCACCCUGUCACCCUCAGCCUCAGAAGGACUCCAUACAUCCAUAUACCUUGAGCUUAGAAAGAUGGCUCAGCUCCUUGGCAGCAGUAAAGAUCAGCUGGGUGCCCUGGACAGACAGAGGAUUAGUCGAAAGCAGAGGACUCCAAACUCAGGAAGUGUGGAGCAAGAGCUCCUUCAGUACACGCUUCAGGACUGUCUUCUCACACACAGUGGCAAAGAGUGUGAGGCUGCAGGCCCAUGUAACAGGACAGUUGAAUGCUGUACUCACUUGCCAUCCAGGAAGUCCAUGAGAGGCCGGAGCACACUAUCUGCAUCCUGAGCCACAGAGGCCCUGGCGUUGGGGGAUGCAUUCCCUGGGCCUCGCACCUGGCCCAGGAUGUCAGCCAUUUGUCGAACACACUCAUCAAUCCGCACCUGAAAACUACACAUGUGCCCGCAGUGCAGCCCUUCCCUGCCCAAACACACAAAGUCCUUGGAACAGCACCAGCUAUUCAGGCCCAUUCCAGCACACUCCUGGUACAGCUCCAGCAGGGACAGCCAACAGGAGGAAAGGGAAGAUCCACACACCUGCACUGGAUGGAGGGUGUGGAGCAGGGGCUUUGGGAUUGGCCAGGGGCCAUAGCUGGCUCUUAUGACUGUGUGGGGACACUGACCUGUUUCCAAAUACCAUGCUGAGCUCAUCCAGAACUGUAUUCAGUUUCACCUGCAGCUCCUUCAAACUGUCUGCAGCUUCAGGGUCCAACUGUAUCCAAAGAAGGUGUGCUUGGCUGAGCUGGUUUUUGUGUCUUUUGUUCCCCUCCUGUGCCACUAACUCCUCCCUCCAAGAGCCUUUACCCCAAUGCCUACUUUGAUCCUUCAGCUUAACCCAGCCUAGACCCUCAGCUAAAUUGCUGAUGAGUUCUACACCCAGGGAGCUCAGGAACAAAGAGAAAGUGCAGCAAUUCCACACCCUGAGACCUACCUCCUUGCCUCCCAUGGCCUCAAACAUUUUCUCCAGCUGGACCCUCAGUUGCUGCAUGUUGUUCAUCAGGAUGCAGGGCUUUGGGGACAAAUGGAGCUGGUGAGUCUUGGCUCCUUUUAACAUAGGACCUAUCAAGCCUAGGAUACCUCUCUCAUACUACUUCAAAAGCCACAGGGAAUUUAUAAUUCAUAUUUUAUGCAUCUGUUCCUAAGCACUGAGAUCUAGAACCAGUUAAGACAGUUCUCCUUGAAUGAAGAAUAGAAGCAAAUGUUUCUGUUUUUAAGCUGGGUGGUGGGUCUCAGGUGUUCAUGGUAUUAUCCUUUAUUUACUCUUUGAACGUCUUAAAUUUUAUUUUUUUAUUAAAAAAGAAAGAAGGAAAGAUUAAGCAAAGCUCUAGCUUAGUAGAAAAUAAAGUACCAAAUGGAGACUCAGAGGAACUCCUAGUCAAGUUCUUA